GGGCCAGCCAACGUUCGCACCUCUUCGGUAGCUGGUUUCAAUCGUUCACCCUCGGCGAGGAGCUCCUGCGUGGAAGAAAAAAAUAUUAAGAAAAUAUUCGAAACGGGUCGAAGGAAAACUGGGAAAUCGGGGAACCGUUCAAUGUUUCGGGGAUCGGAGAGAGCCCGAGAGGGGUCACGCACCUGCGGUGCCUGCCCGUACAAGUCUGGCAAACUUUGCCCUUUCGAACUCGGAAUAUUCGGGGGUUGGAGUUGAAAAAUCAGCUGUACGGCUUCGGUUAACAUAUGCUUCGCUGUGCAUUCGAUUGAAAUUAUCAAAGCGUGGUACGCAAUUUUUUUUGGAUCCGCUAAUACGGAUUGCGUAAUUGAUUGGGGUGAAAACGCUCAUGAAUAAAACAAUAUGAUUCUGACUGAGUGAAUGGAACGAGUACCGCGAAACCGUGCCAGCGAUAAGAA